rnacentral:rRNA from 1 species
UACGAAGGGGGCUAGCGUUGCUCGGAAUCACUGGGCGUAAAGGGUGCGUAGGCGGGUCUUUUAAGUCAGGGGUGAAAUCCUGGAGCUCAACUCCAGAACUGCCUUCGAUACUGGCGAUCUUGAGUCCGGGAGAGGUGAGUGGAACUCCGAGUGUAGAGGUGAAAUUCGUAGAUAUUCGGAAGAACACCAGUGGCGAAGGCGGCUCACUGGCCCGGUACUGACGCUGAGAUACGAAAGCGUGGGGAGCAAACAGG